rnacentral:rRNA from 1 species
GCUUAUGGCCACACCGCCUGGUUCACGGCUGAUCUCGUUUGAUCUCGGAAGCUAAGAUAGGGUGGCCCUGGUUAGUACUUGGAUGGGAGACCGCCUGGGAAUACCAGGUGUUGUAAGAU